ACUAGCAAGGAUUCCCCUAGUAACUGCGAGUGAAGCGGGAAAAGCUCAAAUUUAAAAUCUGGCGGUCUCCGGCCGUCCGAGUUGUAAUCUAGAGAAGUGUUAUCCGCGCUGGACCGUGUACAAGUCUCCUGGAAUGGAGCGUCAUAGAGGGUGAGAAUCCCGUCUUUGACACGGACUGCCAGGGCUUUGUGAUGCGCUCUCAAAGAGUCGAGUUGUUUGGGAAUGCAGCUCAAAAUGGGUGGUAAAUUCCAUCUAAAGCUAAAUAUUGGCGAGAGACCGAUAGCGAACAAGUACCGUGAGGGAAAGAUGAAAAGAACUUUGGAAAGAGAGUUAAACAGUACGUGAAAUUGCUGAAAGGGAAACGCUUGAAGUCAGUCGCGUUGGCCGGGGAUCAACCUUGCUUUUGCUGGGCGUACUUUCCGGUUGACGGGUCAGCAUCAAUUUUGACCGUUGGAUAAAGUCCAGGGGAAUGUGGCAUCUUCGGAUGUGUUAUAGCCCUUGGUCGCAUACAACGGUUGGGAUUGAGGAACUCAGCACGCCGCAAGGCCGGGUACUUGUACCACGUUCGUGCUUAGGAUGCUGGCAUAAUGGCUUUAAUCGACCCGUCUUGAAACACGGACCAAGGAGUCUAACAUGCCUGCGAGUGUUUGGGUGGAAAACUCGGACGCGUAAUGAAAGUGAAAGUUGAGAUCCCUGUCGCGGGGAGCAUCGACGCCCGGACCAGACCUUUUGUGACGGAUC
rnacentral:rRNA from 1 species